UACAGAGGGUGCAAGCGUUAAUCGGAAUUACUGGGCGUAAAGCGUGCGUAGACGGUUGCGUAAGUCAGAUGUGAAAGCCCCGGGCUCAACCUGGGAAUUGCAUUUGAGACUGCGUAGCUAGGGUGCGGAAGAGGGAAGCGGAAUUUCCGGUGUAGUGGUGAAAUGCGUAGAUAUCGGGAGGAACACCAGUGGCGAAGGCGACUACCUGGCCUGUUCUUGACGCUGAGGCGCGAAAGCUAGGGGAGCAAACGGGG
rnacentral:rRNA from 1 species